rnacentral:rRNA from 1 species
AGCAUGUGGUUUAAUUCGAAGCAACGCGAAGAACCUUUACCAGGUCUUGACAUCCCGAUGCUAUUUCUAGAGAUAGAAAGUUACUUCGGUACAUCGGUGACAGGUGGUGCAUGGUUGUCGUCAGCUCGUGUCGUGAGAUGUUGGGUUAAGUCCCGCAACGAGCGCAACCCCUAUUGUUAGUUGCCAUCAUUCAGUUGGGCACUCUAGCGAGACUGCCGGUAAUAAACCGGAGGAAGGUGGGGAUGACGUCAGAUCAUCAUGCCCCUUAUGACCUGGGCUACACACGUGCUACAAUGGUUGGUACAACGAGUUGCGAGUCGGUGACGGCGAGCUAAUCUCUUAAAAGCCAAUCUCAGUUCGGAUUGUAGGCUGCAACUCGCCUACAUGAAGUCGGAAUCGCUAGUAAUCGCGGAUCAGCACGCCGCGGUCGAAUACGUUCCCGGGCCUU